GAAUGUAACUGAUUCCUGGGAGGUGAAAUAUGAUUUUGGGUUUGCUGUCCAUUUGUGUUUCUCCUUAUUUCACAGGGUUUCCCUUUCCCCACAGGGUGCCAGCCCGGCUCAGGCAAGUCCUGCCCUUCCUUCUCCACGGGACUCACGUCAAUCUCUCACAGAAGAACGCGAUGCCGUCAAGUGCUUUGCAAACAGAACACGCGUCAGGAAAAUGCACACUUACGAGGUCCGCAGGGGGCCCGGCGGCCGCAUUUGUCAUCCCUCCAACGAGGACGCCCGAGUUCCUCCCAGGGCUGUAACCCUCACAUCUCCCCGCGGGCCGCGCUGGACACCGCUGCCCAGGGGCCAUCAGAGCCGCACGACCUAACAACUUCACCAGGUUUUUACACGACUGUGCCUCAGAGGAAGUGAUCCCCGCUGCUCGGAGGAAGCGAACAACUAUAAAUCAGAGCCGUGGACACAGACAGGAAGCCACCACACAGCGGGAAACGCUUCCUGGCUGUGCUGAAACUGCUCCCGGCCCCUCCCUCCUCCUCCGGCGGGAAUGUUUGCCUGGCCGGCAGCUGCAUCCUGGCAGACACGAUGGACACAGACAUGGCGGUGACAUCUCAACAACAGUAUCAGCCGCAGGACCACCCAUGCGCCAGACACUGAACGAAAACACGCCCUGUUGUCUUACUUGAUCUUCACAACGACUCCUCUACACGUGAGAAAGCUGCGUUUAUUGAGUGAGAGGAACCUGCUGAUUUCGGCUGCUGGCACGUGUUUCUUUGACCAGGACACCGUCUGAGCCUGGGCCCGGGGAUCCACGCUCCACAGAAACACAGCAAGUGGCAGACGAGGGGCCUGGGACUGAGCUCAGCUCUGCUCAGA